UACAAUUUUCCCCCUUUUUAUUGUUUUUGGCUGAUUGACAAGAUCUAGCUAUGUAAAAUCCCGAUCUUUCAUUUUAUAUGGUUUUUUGUACAUCCUGAUCACUUUUUGGUACAAGUAAAAAAUUUCACCUUUUGUAUAGGUAGUAAUGAGUUGUUUUUAUGUUGUUCAGUGCAAAUGUAAUGCUUUUCUUGUUAAUUCAGAAGUUUCAAAUUUUACGAAUUUGUCUCAGUUUCAAUUAAACUUAGUGGAGCAAAUCUAGAAUUAAUUAUCAAAACAAACAAUUAUCUGCACCUAUUGAUACUUGGUAUUUUUUAGAAGCCACCAUGAAAAACAGAUAUCUAAGAUCUUGUAUUAAAUACAUUCUCUUUUGUUUCAAUUUGUAAUUCGUUAACUGAAACUCAGAAGAAAGAAUUAUGAAAGAAUAUAAUGCUUAAUCAUCCCAGCACACUUUGAACACUCUUUAUUGCGUUAUAUUUAUAAUUAAAAUUAGGCAUGCUUUCUAUAGAGCAAUGUAAGGUUACCUCCUGUUUUCUUAUCGAUUCCAAUUUUUAAUCCUUCAUUACACUUCUUCAUGUGUUGUGUGGUUAGAUACGGAAGAGAAAUAGCAGAAGAAACAAAUCCAAGAAGUUAUCCAGUUCUGAGGAUGACUCGUGAUCUUCUGCUUCCUCUGAUUAUUCUAGCUGUCCACAGUCUUUGUCCUCCGAUUCAGAGGUUGAUUAUAGUAGGAAAAGACGUAGGUACUCACGUAAUAUAGAACACGUGUAGAAAAGAACUCAAAGAUGAUUUUCAAGCCAAGAUGUAAGUGACGGUUCACCCCCUUUAAAAAAAAGAGAAAGGUCAAAUAGAAAGAUUCUUGAUUAUGGGACAAAAGUGCUGAAGAAGAAGCGAAAGAGACACGCUAGUAUUAGCUCCACAAACAGUGACUCAUGAAGUUGUUCUAGGAAAAUAGUAUUAGCUCCAAAGGUAGAGAUUUUGAGAGCUUCUCCACUUGCCUAGAUACAACUAAUAGUGGUAAAUAGGAAGCGAUAACGAAAUUGAGUUUGAAUAGUAGACAUUUGCAUAUAAUCCUUAAGGUUCCUAAUAUUUUUAGUUUUAACAAAUUAAUCUUGUCUUAAAAUACCUGACGUCUGAAGAAUUUUUUUAAUUAUAUCUAAGUUUUAAAUUUUCUAAUUUAAUUAGUAUAGAAUUAUUACUGUUUAAAGAGAAAUAAAUAAAAAGUAAUAUAAACUAGUAUACUCGUGAUUAAAAAUAUUGCUAUAAAUACUUUUGCAAAGCAUUGUCCAAAUAAAAUAGGCAUAAUAUAUAAAUAUAUCUUUUAAUUUGUCUUCCAUACUAAGACGAAUGGAUCUAUUUGUUUAAUUUAUACAAGCUUAAGUGUCUAUUUAUACAUAAUUAAAAGUGAAGGGCAUAAAUAUUUGCUUAACCUUCAUUUAAAACACGUUUAUGUAUUAUGCAAUAAAAUACUGAUAGCUCUUUUUUAUACAUUUAAACAGCUCUAAAAGAUAGGAUUAGGUGGUUUGAAGUUAAUAAAACAAAAUCUGCGUCGCAUGUAAUAAUAAGCCGGUUUUCUACUUUGUUUUUUUAUGGUAUUUGACACUCCCUUCUGUGGGCUUAAUACCAAAUCCUUAAAACCCCUGAUAAUCCUUGGUGUUUUCAUCCUUUCUUUAAGACUUCUGUGGGCUUGAUUACCAAAUCCUUAAAACUCCUCAUAAGCCUUGUGUUCUCAUCCCUUCUUUAAGAAGGGUUUCAUUUUGGGGAACUUGAGGCUGAGUGAAGUGAAAAUGGGGCGAUUAUUUUUUCAGGAUCUUGAAGGCAAAACCUUCAAUUGCAAAUUCUGCAAAACCAAACUUGCCCGUGCUGAUCAACUUAUUACCAAGGUACAAUUUUUCCCCUUUUAUUUUUUAUUUUUUCUUGAAUGACUAGAUCUAGCUAUGUAAAAUCCCGAUCUUUCAUUUGACAUGGCUAAAUAUCCUACAAGUGAAAAUCUCACCUUUUUUAUAGGUAGUAAAUAAGUAAUUUUUAUGUAGUUUAGUGCAAAUGUUAUGCUUUUCUUGUUAAUUCAGUAGUGUCAAAUUUACGAUUUCGUCAUUUCUCAUCAUGAAUUUGAAUUUGACCAUUAGGAAAAUGGUUAAUUGAGUUACGGAUGGAAGAGAGUGCAUAUUUUAUUUGUCUCUAAAAAAUGUUGCUGAUUAGAUCCAGAAAUGAGUGACUAUUUCAUGAGAGAUAGCAGCGACGUGUGAAGAUGUUUGGAAGCUCUCAAGCUUGUUGGAUCAUGUCGAUUUUAUGUAUAUUUAGAGAUGUUUGAACAAAAUAGUUCAUAGUUUAGCUAGAUUUUCUAUUUCUUUAUUGAAGGAGAUCUCUUGGGAGAGGUUUUUCCCCAUGUUAGAUCGUGCAUGAUGCUAAGGGUACAUUGAAUUUCGUAGUUUUUGAUGCAAAUGUACAAAGUGUUAAGUUUCGUUGAAAAAGUUCAUGAAUCUGACAAGCUUAAUGUUGUUUGCCAAGCAUACAUUAGCCCUCCUCUUUUGUUUAAGCGUGAAACUCAUUAAACACGUUCUUUUAGAUAAGAACUCAAUUGUAGAUUCUUCUUUGCUGCCUGUGCUAAAAGCAAAGUUGCAUUUGGGAUCUGGAGGUUUUGCGAUGCAACUAUUCUUUGAACAUAGACAUCUUGCUAUUUAAAAAGGGAAGGUUGUCUUCUCUUUUAUAUGUUAAUAAAACAAAAUCUGCGCCACAUAUAAAAAUAAGCCGGUUUUCUACUUUGUUUUUAUGGAAUUUAACAUUCACUUCUGUGGGCUUAACUCUCCAAAUCCUUAAAACCCCUCUAAGCCUUGUACUUUUCAUCCAUUCUAUAAGAAGGGUUUCGAUUUGGGGAGAUUGAGGCUGUGUGAAGUGAAAAAUGGGGAGAUUAUUUUUGGUGCAUCCUUAUGGCAAAACUUACAAGUGCAAAUUCUGCGAUGCCAAACUUGGUCACGUUGGUUCACUUGUUUCAAAGGUACAAUUUUUCCCCUUUUUAUUAUUUUUGGUUGAUUGACAAGAUCUAGCUAUGUAAAAUCCCGAUCUUUCAUUUUAUAUGGUUUUUUGUACAUCCUGAUCUUUCAUUUGACAUGGUUUUUGGUACAUCCUGAUCACUUUUUGGUACAAGUAAAAAAUUUCACCUUUUGUAUAGGUAGUAAUGAGUUGUUUUUAUGUUGUUCAGUGCAAAUGUAAUGCUUUUCUUGUUAAUUCAGAAGUUUCAAAUUUUACGAAUUUGUCUCAGUUUCAAUUAAACUUAGUGGAGCAAAUCUAGAAUUAAUUAUCAAAACAAACAAUUAUCUGCACCUGUUAAUACUUGGUAUUUAGAAGCCACCAUGAACAACAGAUAUCUAAGAUCUUGUAUUAAAUACAUUCUCUUUUGUUUCAAUUUGUAAUUCGUUAACUGACACUCAGAAGAAAGAAUUAUGAAAGACUAUAUAAUGCUUAAUCAUCCCAGCACACUUUGAACACUCUUUAUUGCGUUAUAUUUAUAAUUAAAAUUAGGCAUGCUUUCUAUAGAACAAUGUAAGGUUACCUCCUGUUUUCUUAUCGAUUCCAAUUUAUUAUCCUUCAUUACACAUCUUCAUGUGUUGUGUGGUUAGAUACGGAAGAGAAAUAGCAGAAGAAACAAAUCCAAGAAGUUAUCCAGUUCUGAGGAUGACUCGUGAUCUUCUGCUUCCUCUGAUUAUUCUAGCUGUCCACAGUCUUUGUCCUCUGAUUCAGAGGUUGAUUAUAGUAGGAAAAGACGUAGGUACUCACGUAAUAUAAAACACGUGUAGAAAAGAACUCAAAGAAGAUUUUCAAGCCAAGAUGUAAGUGACGGUUCACCCCCUUUAAAGAAAAGAGAAAGGUUAAAUAGAAAGAUUCUUGAUUAUGGGACAAAAGUGCAGAAGAAGAAGCGAACGAGACACGCUAGUAUUAGCUCCACAAACAGUGACUCGUGAAGUUGUUCUAGGAAAAUAGUAUUAGCUCCAAAGGUAGAGAUUUUGAGAGCUUCUCCACUUGCCUAGAUACAACUAAUAGUGGUAAAUAGGAAGCGAUAACGAAAUUGAGUUUGAAUAGUAGACAUUUGCAUAUAAUCCUUAAGGUUCCUAAUAUUUUUAGUUUUAACAAAUUAAUCUUGUCUUAAAAUACCUGACGUCUGAAGAAUUUUUUUAAUUAUAUCUAAGUUUUAAAUUUUCUAAUUUAAUUAGUAUAGAAUUAUUACUGUUUAAAGAGAAAUAAAUAAAAAGUAAUAUAAACUAGUAUACUCGUGAUUAAAAAUAUUGCUAUAAAUACUUUUGCAAAGCAUUGUCCAAAUAAAAUAGGCAUAAUAUAUAAAUAUAUCUUUUAAUUUGUCUUCCAUACUAAGACGAAUGGAUCUAUUUGUUUAAUUUAUACAAGCUUAAGUGUCUAUUUAUACAUAAUUAAAAGCGAAGGGCAUAAAUAUUUGCUUAACCUUCAUUUAAAACACGUUUAUGUAUUACGCAAUAAAAUACUGAUAGAUCUUUUUUAUACAUUUGAACAACACUAAAAGAUAAGAUUAGGUGGCUUUGAAGUUAGUAAAACAAAAUCUGCGCCACAUGUAAAAAUAAGCCGGUUUCUACUUUGUUUUUAUGGAAUUUAACACUCACUUCUGUGGGCUUAACUCUAAAUCCUUAAAACCCCUCUAAGCCUUGUACUUUUCAUCCAUUCUAUAAGAAGGGUUUCGAUUUGGGGAAAUUGAGGCUGUGUGAAGUGAAAAAUGGGGAGAUUAUUUUUGGUGCAUCCUGAUGGCAAAACUUACAAUUGCAAAUUCUGCGAUGCCAAACUUGGUCACGUUGGUUCACUUGUUUCAAAGGUACAAUUUUUCCCCUUUUUAUUAUUUUUGGUUGAUUGACUAGAUCUAGCUGUGUAAAAUCCCGAUCUUUCAUUUUAUAUGGUUUUUUGUACAUCCUGAUCUUUCAUUUGACAUGGUUUUUGGUACAUCCUGAUCACUUUUUGGUACAAGUAAAAAAUUUCACCUUUUGUAUAGGUAGUAAUGAGUUGUUUUUAUGUUGUUCAGUGCAAAUGUAAUGCUUUUCUUGUUAAUUCAGAAGUUUCAAAUUUUACGAAUUUGUCUCAGUUUCAAUUAAACUUAGUGGAGCAAAUCUAGAAUUAAUUAUCAAAACAAACAAUUAUCUGCACCUGUUAAUACUUGGUAUUUAGAAGCCACCAUGAACAACAGAUAUCUAAGAUCUUGUAUUAAAUACAUUCUCUUUUGUUUCAAUUUGUAAUUCGUUAACUGACACUCAGAAGAAAGAAUUAUGAAAGACUAUAUAAUGCUUAAUCAUCCCAGCACACUUUGAACACUCUUUAUUGCGUUAUAUUUAUAAUUAAAAUUAGGCAUGCUUUCUAUAGAACAAUGUAAGGUUACCUCCUGUUUUCUUAUCGAUUCCAAUUUAUUAUCCUUCAUUACACAUCUUCAUGUGUUGUGUGGUUAGAUACGGAAGAGAAAUAGCAGAAGAAACAAAUCCAAGAAGUUAUCCAGUUCUGAGGAUGACUCGUGAUCUUCUGCUUCCUCUGAUUAUUCUAGCUGUCCACAGUCUUUGUCCUCUGAUUCAGAGGUUGAUUAUAGUAGGAAAAGACGUAGGUACUCACGUAAUAUAAAACACGUGUAGAAAAGAACUCAAAGAAGAUUUUCAAGCCAAGAUGUAAGUGACGGUUCACCCCCUUUAAAGAAAAGAGAAAGGUUAAAUAGAAAGAUUCUUGAUUAUGGGACAAAAGUGCAGAAGAAGAAGCGAACGAGACACGCUAGUAUUAGCUCCACAAACAGUGACUCGUGAAGUUGUUCUAGGAAAAUAGUAUUAGCUCCAAAGGUAGAGAUUUUGAGAGCUUCUCCACUUGCCUAGAUACAACUAAUAGUGGUAAAUAGGAAGCGAUAACGAAAUUGAGUUUGAAUAGUAGACAUUUGCAUAUAAUCCUUAAGGUUCCUAAUAUUUUUAGUUUUAACAAAUUAAUCUUGUCUUAAAAUACCUGACGUCUGAAGAAUUUUUUUAAUUAUAUCUAAGUUUUAAAUUUUCUAAUUUAAUUAGUAUAGAAUUAUUACUGUUUAAAGAGAAAUAAAUAAAAAGUAAUAUAAACUAGUAUACUCGUGAUUAAAAAUAUUGCUAUAAAUAUUUUUGCAAAGCAUUGUCCAAAUAAAAUAGGCAUAAUAUAUAAAUAUAUCUUUUAAUUUGUCUUCCAUACUAAGACGAAUGGAUCUAUUUGUUUAAUUUAUACAAGCUUAAGUGUCUAUUUAUACAUAAUUAAAAGUGAAGGGCAUAAAUAUUUUCUUAAGCUACAUUAAAAACACAUUUAUGUAUCAUCCCUUCUUUAAGAAGGGUUUCAUUUUGGGGAAAUUGAGGCCGAGUGAAGUGAAAAUGGGGC
rnacentral:lncRNA from 1 species